AACGCACCUUGCGCCCUCUGGUAUUCCGGAGGGCAUGCCUGUUUGAGUGUCGCGCACCUCUCAACCCCCACUUAGUCUAACGACCGAGUUGCGCGGGCUUGGACCGUGGCUGUCUUUAGGUCGAGCUCUCGUGAGCUCGGCCCAGCCCAAAUGCACACCAAGCGGAUGUCCGUUCUCUAUGGGCGCGGCUUGACCGAGUGUUGUAGUGUCGUACAAAAGCACAUUCGGGACGCGAACAUAGUAGCGACGGCUCUGCGCCGGCGAUCGACUCAAACCUAUUGUCAUCGACCUCAAAUCAGGCAGGACUACCCGCUGAACUUAA
rnacentral:misc_RNA from 1 species